rnacentral:lncRNA from 1 species
AGCCUCCAGAGAAAAACCCUUCCCUUACUGAGAAGAAGAAAUCCCAGCUUCUGGCAAUUUUUCAGCCGCCUAUUUAGCCCCU